rnacentral:rRNA from 1 species
AGUGAACGCUGGCGGUAGGCCUAACACAUGCAAGUCGAACGGCAGCACAGUAAGAGCUUGCUCUUACGGGUGGCGAGUGGCGGACGGGUGAGGAAUACAUCGGAAUCUACUUUUUCGUGGGGGCUAACGUAGGGAAACUUACGCUAAUACCGCAUACGACCUACGGGUGAAAGCAGGGGAUCUUCGGACCUUGCGCGAUUGAAUGAGCCGAUGUCGGAUUAGCUAGUUGGCGGGGUAAAGGCCCACCAAGGCGACGAUCCGUAGCUGGUCUGAGAGGAUGAUCAGCCACACGGGAACAGAGACACGGUCCAGACUCCGACAGGAGGAAGCAGUGGGGAAUAUUGGACAAUGGGCGCAAGCCGGAUCCAGCCAUACCGCGUGGGUGAAGAAGGCCUUCGGGUUGUAAAGCCCUUUUGUUGGGAAAGAAAAGCAGCAGGUUAAUACCCCGCUGUUCUGACGGUACCCAAAGAAUAAGCACCGGCUAACUUCGUG